AGACCGGCCGACGCGGGCCACCCCGCUCUCCUCGCCGCCGCGGCGGCAGGCGCGGGGCCGCGCCGCGAGGCCUGAUCCCUGCAGCGCGGGCAGGCGGCGUCGCAGAGCGGAGCUAGCUGGAUGCGUCCGGACUCCUGCAGGUGAGAGUGAUUUUCCAGUGAUUGCUUUGGCCUGUACAACCAGAGAACAGGAUUCUUCCCUUCUUUUUGGCCACCAAAUGCCUAUGUGCACCACACAUUCCAGUGUGCUGAGAAGGGCAGAGCUUCUUGGAUGAUGAUGGACGUCCCACCGGGCAGGAUGAAGGCAGAGCGUGUGGCAUCUCCACCUCAAGGGUGGGUUUAUAAACUCCUUCUAUAGAUGAAGACUUCACCUGCCCAAGGUCAUGCAGAUAAGAAGAGGCAGCUCAGACACAAGUUUUCAGAAUCCUAGUCUUUCCCUCUUUUUUGCUAGUUGAUGCUGAUAAUUCAGCAUGAAUAAGAGGACAUGCUGUUUUUGUUUUGUUAAGUUCAACAUUGAAACGUUGCAUUCAGUUUAUGAAUGCUCUGGAAUAGAGCACCCUG
rnacentral:lncRNA from 10 species